rnacentral:tRNA from 3 species
GCGAGAGUGGCGGAAUUGGUAGACGCGCUAGCUUCAGGUGUUAGUGUUCUUACGGACGUGGGGGUUCAAGUCCCCCCUUUCGCACCA